UACGUAGGGUGCGAGCGUUGUCCGGAAUUAUUGGGCGUAAAGGGCUCGUAGGCGGUCUGUUGCGUCAGGAGUGAAAACUCGGGGCUUAACCCCGAGCCUGCUUCUGAUACGGGCAGACUAGAGGUAUGCAGGGGAGAACGGAAUUCCUGGUGUAGCGGUGAAAUGCGCAGAUAUCUGGAGGAACACCGGUGGCGAAGGCGGCAUCCUGGGCCGGUAUUGACGCUGAGGAGCGAAAGCCAGGGGAGCAAAGCGGG
rnacentral:rRNA from 1 species